GACGAACCGUACGAACGUUAUUCGGAAUUACUGGGCUUAAAGGGUUUGUAGGCGGCCUUGUAAGUCAGGUGUGAAAUCCCUCGGCUCAACCGAGGAAUGGCGCUUGAUACUGCAAGGCUUGAGGGAGACAGGGGUAAGCGGAACUGAUGGUGGAGCGGUGAAAUGCGUUGAUAUCAUCAGGAACACCGGUGGCGAAAGCGGCUUACUGGGUCUCUUCUGACGCUGAGGAACGAAAGCGUGGGGAGCGAACAGG
rnacentral:rRNA from 1 species